CAAUAUCUUCUACAUGACUGGAUUGUUCUAUGUACCAUGAACGGAGGAGCAAGCAAAGCAGAGUGGGUCCAUGCUCCAAUAGAGUUUAUCUUUUACUCCAGACAAAGAUGAAGAGCAUUUCUUGCAUAAGAGCAUUCGUAUCAGGAAUGACUUCAUCUGCAAGGACAGAAAACCCGACUGGUGGCUUAAACAUGGGGAGGCUGACCAUCUCACAUGAUAAUAAAUAGAUGGUAAAAACUGUGUACAGAAGAGAAUCAAUAAAGAGGAAAAUGGUGAAGAAACAAGAAAGAAGAAGUACUUGAUGGAUUGGAGUUCAGAAGACUGCUGGGGACAUGAGGACAAGGACAUCGAAGAGAUGAGCUUGGAAGGGCAUCUAAGUCAGCAGGGAUGGAGCAAUUCUCUUCAUUAGGUAAUCGCUAUUUGCUGAGUUUAGUUUUCACUGAGAUGAGAGGUUGCUGCCUCCAGGGGUCAAACAUGUAGUUUACCAGGUA